rnacentral:lncRNA from 1 species
AUCUUCAGUUCAGAAGGAUACAACAAUAAUCUUUAUAUUCUUUGUUGUGGAAAACUGAAUUUGACUUUUAUCAUUCAGUCUGACGUGCUAGAAAAAAAAUGGCUUGAAAAAAGCUUCACAUUAUUUUUCAUUUCAAAUUAUUAUGUUCCUUCUAUUGUAGGGGGUCUCAUUGGGGGGUUCUGAUCCCGGAUCCUGCUUACUGUUUUGUUAUUAUAAAUGUCGGUUAUUGAUUUGGGGAUGUACGGCGGG